rnacentral:misc_RNA from 1 species
GGAAGUAAAAUCGUAACAAGGUUUCCGUAGGUGAACCUGCGGAAGGAUCAUUCAUAAUAAAGUGUUUUAUGGCACUUUUUAAAAAUCCAUAUCCACCUUGUGUGCAAUGUUAGAUCUCGUCAAUCUUGGCGAGAUUUUUAUACAUCAACUCAUUCUUUAACUAAUUUGUCUGAAAAAUAUUAUGAAUACUUAAUUCAAAAUACAACUUUCAACAACGGAUCUCUUGGCUCUC